rnacentral:rRNA from 1 species
UGUAUGUGUGUUCAACAAAUUAACCUGAUCUCAUCUGUUCUGGGAAGCUAAGCAGUUGUGGUCCUGGCUUAGCGGCUGGACGGGAGACCGUCAUGGAGUUUCAGGAACCUAUGAAA